rnacentral:misc_RNA from 1 species
GAUGAAGAACGCAGCGAAAUGCGAUACUAGGUGUGAAUUGCAGAAUCCCGUGAACCAUCGAGUCUUUGAACGCAAGUUGCGCCCGAAGCCAUUAGGCCGAGGGCACGCCUGCCUGGGCGUCACACGUCGUUGCCCCCCCAUCUACUCCUUCGGGAUUGCGGGGGGCGGAUGAUGGCCUCUCGUGCGCCUCGUCGCGCGGUUGGCCUAAAUGCCAAGUCCUCGGCGACGCACGCCACGACAAUCGGUGGUUGCGAAACCUCGGUUGCCUGUCGUGUGCGGUCGUCGCGCAUCGAGGGCUCGAAAAAAUUGCCGGGCUUCGGCUCGACUUUCAACGCGACCCCAGGUCAGGCGGGGUUACCCGCUGAAUUUAAGCAUAUCAAUAAGCGGAGGA